CAGCAGCCACGGUAAUACGUAGGUCCCGAGCGCUGUCCGGAUUUAUUGGGCGUAAAGCGAGCGCAGGCGGUUAGAUAAGUCUGAAGUUAAAGGCUGUGGCUUAACCAUAGUACGCUUUGGAAACUGUUUAACUUGAGUGCAAGAGGGGAGAGUGGAAUUCCAUGUGUAGCGGUGAAAUGCGUAGAUAUAUGGAGGAACACCGGUGGCGAAAGCGGCUCUCUGGCUUGUAACUGACGCUGAGGCUCGAAAGCGUGGGGAGCAAACAGGAUUAGAUACCCGUGUAGUCCCUGUCUCUUAUACA
rnacentral:rRNA from 1 species